rnacentral:tRNA from 1 species
GCCUGGGUGGCUCAGUUGGUUGAGCGUCUGACUUUGGCUCAGGUCAUGAUGUUGCGGUCUGUGAGUUCGAGCCCCGCGCCAGGCU